rnacentral:rRNA from 1 species
AGAUAUGAUCCAGAGUACCACGGGACACGUGAAACCCUGUGGGAAGCAGGAGGGACCACCCUCCAAGGCUAAAUACUACCUAGUGACCGAUAGCGUAUAGUACCGUGAGGGAAAGGUGAAAAGAACCCCGGGAGGGGAGUGAAAUAGAACCUGAAACCCUGCACUUACAAGCUGUGGAAGCACAUUUCUUGUGUGACCGCGUACUUUUUGUAGAACGGGCCAACGAGUUACGUUAAGUAGCAAGGUUAAGCACUUAAGGUGUGGAGCCGUAGCGAAAGCGAGUUUUAACUGAGCGUUCAGUUACUUGACGUAGACCCGAAACCGGGCGACCUACCCAUGAGCAGGAUGAAGCGAAAGUAAAAUUUCGUGGAGGUCCGAACCCACGAGCGUUGAAAAGCUCGGGGAUGACUUGUGGGUAGCGGUGAAAUUCCAAUCGAGCCCGGAGAUAGCUGGUUCUCCCCGAAAUAGCUUUAGGGCUAGCCUCAAGGUGAGAGAUACGGAGGUAGAGCACUGAAUGUCCUAGGGGGUAUUGCACCUACCGAAGACUAUCAAACUCCGAAUGCCGUCAUCUUAUACUUGGGAGUCAGACUGUGGGUGAUAAGAUUCAUAGUCGAAAGGGCAACAGCCCAGAUCGUCAGCUAAGGUCCCUAAAUGUAAGUUAAGUGGUAAAGGAUGUGGGAUUGCACAGACAACCAGGAUGUUGGCUUAGAAGCAGCCACUCAUUCAAAGAGUGCGUAAUAGCUCACUGGUCGAGUGAUCCUGCGCCGAAGAUUUCCGGGGCUAAAACUUACUACCGAAGCUACGGCAUCAGUAAUGAUGGGUAGGGGAGCUUCCCAUACGGGUUGAAGCAUGACCGUAAGGACAUGUGGACAGUAUGGGAGUGAGAAUGUUGGCAUGAGUAGCGAGAUGUGGGUGAGAAUCCCACAGGCCGUAAACCCAAGGUUUCCAGGGGAAGGUUCGUCCGCCCUGGGUUAGUCGGGACCUAAGCUGAGGCCGAAAGGCGUAGGUGAUGGACAACAGGUUGAUAUUCCUGUACUACCGAUAACCGUUUGAGAGAAGGGAUGACACAGUAGGAUAAGCUAAGCACACUGUUGGUUAUGUGUGCCCAAGCAUUGAGGCAGUCAAAGUAGGCAAAUCCGCUUUGAUAAUGCUGGGAUGUGAUGGGGAGCGAAAUUUAGUAGCGAAGUAGCUGAUUUCACACUGUCAAGAAAAGUCUCUAUCGAGGUUAAAGGUACCCGUACCGCAAACCGACACAGGUGGGUGAGGAGAGUAUCCUAAGGCCAGCGAGAGAACUGUUGUUAAGGAACUCGGCAAAAUGACCCCGUAACUUAGGGAUAAGGGGUGCCACCAUCAGGUGGCCGCAGAGAAUAGGCCCAAGCGACUGUUUACCAAAAACAUAGGUUUCUGCUAAGUCGCAAGACGAUGUAUAGGAGCUGACGCCUGCCCGGUGCUGGAAGGUUAAGGGGAUCUGUUAGAGUAAUCGAAGCAGUGAACUUAAGCCCCAGUAAACGGCGGCCGUAACUAUAACGGUCCUAAGGUAGCGAAAUUCCUUGUCGGGUAAGUUCCGACCCGCACGAAAGGCGUAACGAUUUGGGCACUGUCUCAACAACAGACUCGGUGAAAUUGUAAUUCCGGUGAAGAUGCCGGAUACCUGCGACAGGACGGAAAGACCCCAUGGAGCUUUACUGUAGCUUGACAUUGGGUCUUGGUACUACAUGUACAGGAUAGGUGGGAGGCUUUGAAACCAGGACGCCAGUUUUGGCGGAGCCAUCCUUGGGAUACCACCCUUGUAGUACUGGGACUCUAACCAUAGGCCAUGAAUCUGGUCUUGGGACACUGUCAGGUGGGCAGUUUGACUGGGGCGGUCGCCUCCCAAAAGGUAACGGAGGCGCUCAAAGGUUCUCUCAGUACGGUCGGAAAUCGUACGUAGAGUGUAAAGGCAAAAGAGAGCUUGAUUGCAAGACAUACAGGUCGAGCAAGGAUGAAAAUCGGACUUAGUGAUCCGGUGGUUCUGCGUGGAAGGGCCAUCGCUCAACGGAUAAAAGCUACCCUGGGGAUAACAGGCUUAUCUCCCCCAAGAGUCCACAUCGACGGGGAGGUUUGGCACCUCGAUGUCGGCUCAUCACAUCCUGGGGCUGUAGUAGGUCCCAAGGGUUGGGCUGUUCGCCCAUUAAAGUGGUACGCGAGCUGGG